AGGUACGACAGAUGGAAUCCCAGAAGAAACUCCAUGCGGCAAACGUAGUAAAGGUACGACAGAUGGAACCCCAGAAGAAACUCCAUACAGCAUAGGCAGUGAAGGUACGACAGAUGCAUUCCCAGAAGACACUACAUGCGACAUAUGCAAUAAAGGUA